AGGAACCAUCCAUGCAUCCUUCCUCUUCAUCAAAACAACUGAACAAAUUCUCCAAAGCAAGGGAACGCGGAACAAGGUUGAAUGAAGACCAAUGCAGAUUGACAGAGAGAUAUCUCACCCUGCCCACUCGCUACCACACCACAGGCUCAAGCUGGAAUACUCGGAGGUCCCGUUUGACUGCCACGGCUGCAAAGAAGCCGGGAUCGGGCUCAGGUACAAGUGCCAGUUGUGCAGGUAUGAGCUCCACAAGGCGUGUGGCGCUGCACCGCCGACCUAACGCACCCCUUCUACAAGAAAUACACAUUUAAUUUCUACUACCAACCCCCAGACCACAACUUGAGAGUGUGCGACGCGUGUGGGACGGACAUCCUAGGAUUUGUGUACCACUGCCAGUACCGUGAUUUAGAUCUCCACCCUUGUUGCGUGAAUCUUCCCCAGGUCCUGGAUGAUGGGAACAAUGUCCUCUACCUGUCUAAAAAUAUCUCGGGCCCGUGCCUUCAUUGUGGAGGCAAGGGCUCCGGGCCAGGCUGGGCUUACAAGUAUCAGUCAAAAUCGUAUAAUCUGCAUGUGUCGUGUGUCAAGAAGUUGCUCGUCGAAAGCUGGUUAGCGUCCUACUUCAAUGUGGACAAGAAUAAGGUUCGAGAGCUGCACACCAAGAUCCCGAGCCUCAGUGGCGUGUCGAGGAGUAAUCCCCGGGCGAAAGGUGACGCUAUGAAGAAGUAUCUUCAAAUGGCCGGUGGAGCUGUCCAGCUUGUCGUCUCAGCCAUCCUGGGCGAUCCAACGGCUAUAAUAGCUGGUGUCCUGAGAGGAUUCGUAUCGAGUUAGCAAAGUAGGAGAAUGUGAAUAAGAUGCGAAAUAAGAGCGUAUCAUCAACCGAGGGAAAAAGCAGAGAGAUGAUAUUUGAUGACCGGAUCAGAUGGCCCUUUCCUCCUGGAGACUAAAAUCAGCACUUAAUACAGCAGCAUACCUGUCCAUAGCAGAAGGCGGAAGAAUUUGCAAUCGGCAUUGAUAGAUUUGAAAGCAGGAACGUGAGAAAAAAUCUCCGAAGCCAAAGGUUGAGGGUAGAAGGAGGGACCUAUUUAGAUAUGACACUAACAUCCAACUCUGCAGGAUUGAUAGAGACGAGCUAAACUCGCAUAGUGUACUGUAUCAAUUGCCAAUGGUAUAAGGAUAAAUGUAAGAACUAUGAAAAUCUUGUCUGUCCUGUCCAAAGCAGUUAUGUACACUGGCAGUAUCUUCUAUAACAGAUAACAAUUGCAUGCA